UACGUAGGGUGCGAGCGUUGUCCGGAAUUAUUGGCGUAAAGAGCUUGUAGGCGGUUUGUCGCGUCUGCUGUGAAAAUCCGGGGCUCAACCCCGGACUUGCAGUGGGUACGGGCAGACUAGAGUGUGGUAGGGGAGACUGGAAUUCCUGGUGUAGCGGUGAAAUGCGCAGAUAUCAGGAGGAACACCGAUGGCGAAGGCAGGUCUCUGGGCCACUACUGACGCUGAGAAGCGAAAGCAUGGGGAGCGAACAGG
rnacentral:rRNA from 1 species